rnacentral:rRNA from 1 species
CGUCAAGUCAUCAUGCCCCUUAUGUCCAGGGCUUCACGCAUGCUACAAUGGCCGGUACAGAGGGCUGCGAUACCGUGAGGUGGAGCGAAUCCCAAAAAGCCGGUCUCAGUUCGGAUCGGGGUCUGCAACUCGACCCCGUGAAGUUGGAGUCGCUAGUAAUCGCAGAUCAGCAUGCCGCGGUGAAUACGUUCCCGGGCCUU